AUGUAAAUUGUGAGGUUUAAUUAUCAAGAAAUAAAAAAACUUCUUGUUUCCGUUUUGUUCAGUAAUAACGCAAAAAUCACCAAAACCAGCUUCCAGGCACAUCAUAAAACACUUUCCUUGAGAUGAAAUUUGCCCCCAGCAAUACUAUGAUGCACUUGGGUAUGUAAAUUUGUCUUCAAGAUACGGUGAAACCUCUAACAAAAUAUGGGAGAAAAGGGAUGCCAAAAAAAAAAAAAAGCUCUUAGAUGCAAAGCUGAAGGGGAGAGAGAGUAUCUAAUUGGCAAUUCUUAAUAUAAUAAGAGGAAAUAAAACAUUCUAUAUCUACAUUUUACUUGCAACCUUCAAAAAGUUGCAUUCUAUCAAAGGUGGCUUUCCAAUUUGAAUUAGAGAUUUAGCCACAUUAAAAGAAACUCAAAAAUUAAGGGAAAACGGAGAAAACCGAUCAAAAUCGAAGGGACACCACUCACUCCAGUGUGCCUGUCUCCUUGCUGGAGCUGGUGUCAAAACAGAUAGGGGCUGAUUUCCAUUCCCUCUGCUGACUCCAGCAGGCUCCUCUGCCGGCUCCAGCAUGUGUUACUCUUGCUGGAGGGGAAACCCUCCAUUUUGGCCCCCCUGCACCAGCUGUAAUGCCACAAUUUUCCCCAGUUUUUUAUCCUAAUUCCAUCUAUAUAUAUAUAUAAGUUACAAGCCUACCUUAUAUAAUUUCCACAUCAUCCUACUGAAGAUGGAUCAAACAAUAUAACACCAAUUUUGAAAUUGUUCUAACAUAGCCUUAUAUAAUUUCCAAGUCAUCUUACUGAAGAUGGAUCAAACAACAUAACGCCAAUUUUGAAAUUGUUCUUACAUAGCAUUCAGAAAUGAAAGAGGCAACAAGCCUUUACCCUUAAUAUUUUAGUAGACCUACAUAUUUUUGGGCUGUAAUAAACUUUUUGUACCUAACUUGUUUUCAAUUAGUAUCACUCGUGAUGCUGAGACCUGUUUUAACCAAAAUAAUGUGGAAACUAUUUCAUUUUAUCGUAAUCUUUUACAGAUUAAUAUAGAUGCUCUUUCAUUUUUUAGGACUGCGAGCGAAGAGCAGUAACAAAACUAUUCCAUCAUAGAAUGGACAAUUAGAAAUUCUUUCAGUGGGUUGAGGCUCCAUCCUGGAUUCCCUAUAUGCCAUCUUCAUCAACGGUGAUAUGGAAUAUAGCAUGUUUGUUCAUCUGUCUGUCUGUUUGUUUGUAUUUUUUCUCUUCUCCGGUGGGACGAGAGGAAGGGUCAAUUGCUGGCCGGUGUCGACUUUCUAAACUUGGUAAGGUAGAACACUUGGACGUGUCAUGUCCGAUAACAAAUUAAGUUUCAUUCCCAAUAAAUUUGGGAAGGGCUAUACGAAUGAUCUUGGCAGGGCUGCAACAUAUUAGUAUUACUGUACAUCUCAGGUCAAUAGUUCUGUAGGUAUUAUGAAUAUUCCAUUCCUUCUUUGUUGCGAUCUUCAUUGCUGCGGUUGAAUCUUUGUGAUAUUGUACUUCCUCUUAUCAUA